UUAUCGAUAAUAUUUGCAGCACUCGUGAGUAAAGAAUCUGUUGAAGUUAUUUAUGAUAACGAAAGAAAAAUAGGGAGGAAUAAUUUGCCUUAUAAGAGUAUGGAAUUGUUUUUACUGAAUUCAAAACUCAACCAGUUGGACAUAUCGGUAGGUGGAUUUUUCCCUUUGAAUUGGACACUUAUUUAUUCGAUGGUGUCUUGUAUAUCGACUUACCUCGUCUAUCUCAUUCAAUUCAGAGAAGUAGAAAUGCAGAAAAACUGUGACUGAAAACCAAUUCACACGCUCAAGUCAUUCGCAAAAGCUCAACCUGAUCUUAUAUUUUUCCAUUUGAUAUAGAUAUGUUGCACCCAAUGGGAAUAAUGAUAAUAGUUAUUCAAUUGAAAAUAAAGAAUAGUGAUUGUUACUUGAAA